GUGAGGAAUAUUGCGCAAUGGAGGCAACUCUGACGCAGCCAUGCCGCGUGCAGGAAGAAGGCGCUACGCGUUGUAAACUGCUUUUAACCGGGAAGAAACCCCAGGACGUGUCCUGGGUUGACGGUACCGGAGGAAUAAGCACCGGCUAACUUCGUGCCAGCAGCCGCGGUAAUACGAAGGGUGCAAGCGUUAUCCGGAUUCAUUGGGUUUAAAGGGUGCGUAGGCGGAGCGUUAAGUCAGUGGUGAAAUCCUGCAGCUUAACUGUAGACUUGCCAUAGAUACUGGCGCUCUUGAGUGCGCUUGAAGUGGGCGGAAUGUGCCGUGUAGCGGUGAAAUACUUAGAUAUGGCACAGAACACCAAUUGCGAAGGCAGCUCACUAAGGCGAUACUGACGCUGAGGCACGAAAGCGUGGGGAUCGAACAGGAUUAGAUACCCGAGUAGUCC
rnacentral:rRNA from 1 species